CGAAAACGAAUUCUCUCUUGAGUGGAUCCUGAGUACGACGGAGCACGUGAAAUUCCGUCGGAAUCUGGGAGGACCAUCUCCUAAGGCUAAAUACUCUCUAGUGACCGAUAGUGAACCAGUACCGUGAGGGAAAGGUGAAAAGUACCCCGGAAGGGGAGUGAAAGAGAACUUGAAACCGUGUGCUUACAAGUAGUCAGAGCCCGUUAAUGGGUGAUGGCGUGCCUUUUGUAGAAUGAACCGGCGAGUUACGAUCUGAUGCAAGGUUAAGCAGAAAAUGUGGAGCCGUAGCGAAAGCGAGUCUGAAUAGGGCGAAUGAGUAUUUGGUCGUAGACCCGAAACCAGGUGAUCUACCCUUGGUCAGGUUGAAGUUCAGGUAACACUGAAUGGAGGACCGAACCGACUUACGUUGAAAAGUGAGCGGAUGAACUGAGGGUAGCGGAGAAAUUCCAAUCGAACUUGGAGAUAGCUGGUUCUCUCCGAAAUAGCUUUAGGGCUAGCCUCAAGUGAUGAUUAUUGGAGGUAGAGCACUGUUUGGACGAGGGGCCCCUCUCGGGUUACCGAAUUCAGACAAACUCCGAAUGCCAAAUAAUUUAACUUGGGAGUCAGAAUGUGGGUGAUAAGGUCCAUAUUCGAAAGGGAAACAGCCCAGACCACCAGCUAAGGUCCCAAAAUAUAUGUUAAGUGGAAAAGGAUGUGGCGUUGCCCAGACAACUAGGAUGUUGGCUUAGAAGCAGCCAUCAUUUAAAGAGUGCGUAAUAGCUCACUAGUCGAGUGACACUGCGCCGAAAAUGUACCGGGGCUAAACAUAUUACCGAAGCUGUGGAUUGUCCAUUGGACAAUGGUAGGAGAGCGUUCUAAGGGCGUUGAAGCAUGAUCGUAAGGACAUGUGGAGCGCUUAGAAGUGAGAAUGCCGGUGUGAGUAGCGAAAGACGGGUGAGAAUCCCGUCCACCGAUUGACUAAGGUUUCCAGAGGAAGGCUCGUCCGCUCUGGGUUAGUCGGGUCCUAAGCUGAGGCCGACAGGCGUAGGCGAUGGAUAACAGGUUGAUAUUCCUGUACCACCAUUAUUCGUUUUAAGCGAUGGGGGGACGCAGUAGGAUAGGCGAAGCGUGCUGUUGGAGUGCACGUCCAAGCAGUGAGAUUGAGUGUUAGGCAAAUCCGGCACUCUUAAGAUUGAGCUGUGAUGGGGAGAGGAACUUGUUCCUCGAGUCGUUGAUUUCACACUGCCGAGAAAAGCCUCUAGCUAGAAUAACGGUGCCCGUACCGCAAACCGACACAGGUAGUCAAGAUGAGAAUUCUAAGGUGAGCGAGCGAACUCUCGUUAAGGAACUCGGCAAAAUGACCCCGUAACUUCGGGAGAAGGGGUGCUCUUUGAGGUUCACGCUUCGAAGAGCCGCAGUGAAUAGGCCCAAGCGACUGUUUAUCAAAAACACAGGUCUCUGCUAAACCGUAAGGUGACGUAUAGGGGCUGACGCCUGCCCGGUGCUGGAAGGUUAAGAGGAGUGGUUAGCGCAAGCGAAGCUACGAAUCGAAGCCCCAGUAAACGGCGGCCGUAACUAUAACGGUCCUAAGGUAGCGAAAUUCCUUGUCGGGUAAGUUCCGACCCGCACGAAAGGCGUAACGAUUUGGGCACUGUCUCAACGAGAGACUCGGUGAAAUCAUAGUACCGGUGAAGAUGCCGGUUACCCGCGACAGGACGGAAAGACCCCGUGGAGCUUUACUGUAGCCUGAUAUUGAAAUUCGGUACAGUUUGUACAGGAUAGGUAGGAGCCUUAGAAGCGUGAGCGCUAGCUUACGUGGAGGCAUUGGUGGGAUACUACCCUAAUUGUAUUGGAUUUCUAACCCGCAGCACUUAUCGUGCUGGGAGACAGUGUCAGGCGGGCAGUUUGACUGGGGCGGUCGCCUCCUAAAGAGUAACGGAGGCGCUCAAAGGUUCCCUCAGAAUGGUUGGAAAUCAUUCAUAGAGUGUAAAGGCAUAAGGGAGCUUGACUGCGAGACCUACAAGUCGAGCAGGGUCGAAAGACGGACUUAGUGAUCCGGUGGUUCCGCAUGGAAGGGCCAUCGCUCAACGGAUAAAAGCUACCCCGGGGAUAACAGGCUUAUCUCCCCCAAGAGUUCACAUCGACGGGGAGGUUUGGCACCUCGAUGUCGGCUCAUCGCAUCCUGGGGCUGUAGUCGGUCCCAAGGGUUGGGCUGUUCGCCCAUUAAAGCGGUACGCGAGCUGGGUUCAGAACGUCGUGAGACAGUUCGGUCCCUAUCCGUCGUGGGCGUAGGAAAUUUGAGAGGAGCUGUCCUUAGUACGAGAGGACC
rnacentral:rRNA from 1 species